GUUCUUAUAAGGAAGAAGCAUUACCGUAAGGAGAUGUGGACAUAUAAGAAGUGAGAAUGCCGGUAUGAGUAUCGAAAAGAAAGGUGAGAAUCCUUUCCACCGAAAGCCCGAGGGUUCCUGAGCAACGAUCGUCGACUCAGGGUAAGUCGGGACCUAAGCCGAGGCGGAGACGCAUAGGCGAUGGACAACAGGUUGAAAUUCCUGUACCGGAUGGAGUCAUUUGAGCGAAGGAGCGACGCAGGAGGGCACAUGAUCGCGCGGCUGGAAGAGCGCGUCCAAGUGCGUAUGCGUAGAGGGAGGCAAAUCCCCCUUUACAGAAGCAGAGACAUGAUGGGGAGUUAAAGGAGACUUUGACGAACUCAUGGAUCCCACACUGCCAAGAAAAACUUCUAGCGAGACGAAAUCCGCCCGUACCGUAAACCGACACAGGUAGGCGGGGAGAGAAUCCUAAGGUGCGCGGGAAAACCCUCGUUAAGGAACUCGGCAAAUUGCAUCCGUAACUUCGGGAGAAGGAUGACCCUGAGUAGGCGAAAGGGAGAAACCCCCGGAACAGAAAAGGGUGGCAGAAAAGAGGCCCAAGCAACUGUUUACCAAAAACACAGGUGCCUGCGAAAGCGAAAGCUGAAGUAUAGGUGCUGACGCCUGCCCGGUGCUGGAAGGUUAAGGAGAGAGGUCAGCGAAAGCGAAGCUUUGAACUGAAGCCCCAGUGAACGGCGGCCGUAACAAUAACGGUCCUAAGGUAGCGAAAUUCCUUGUCGGGUAAGUUCCGACCCGCAUGAAAGGCGUAAUGAUUUGGGCACUGUCUCAACGAGGGGCCCGGUGAAAUUGAAAUACCUGUGAAGAUGCAGGUUACCCGCGACUGGACAGAAAGACCCCAUGGAGCUUCACUGCAGCUUGAGAUUGAAUCCCGGUGACAUAUGCACAGGAUAGGUGGGAGGCUAAGAAGUAAUGCCUUUGGGUGUUACAGAGCCGAUGUUGGGAUACCACCCUUAUGUUGCUGAGAUUCUAACACGGAGACUAACAACCUCGUGGACCAUCUCAGGCAGGCGGUUUGACUGGGGCGGUCGCCUCCUAAAAUGUAACGGAGGCGCCCAAAGGUUCCCUCAGGCCGGACAGAAACCGGCCGAAGAGUGCAAAGGCAGAAGGGAGCUUGACUGCGAGACAGACAAGUCGAGCAGAGACGAAAGUCGGGCUUAGUGAUCCGGUGGUACUGAGUGGAAAGGCCAUCGCUCAACGGAUAAAAGCUACCCUGGGGAUAACAGGCUAAUCUCUCCCAAGAGUUCAUAUCGACGGGGAGGUUUGGCACCUCGAUGUCGGCUCAUCACAUCCUGGAGCUGGAGUAGGUUCCAAGGGUUGGGCUGUUCGCCCAUUAAAGUGGUACGCGAGCUGGGUUCAAAACGUCGUGAGACAGUUUGGUUCAUAUCCAUCGCGGGCGCAAGAAGUUUGAGGGAGGCUGCUCCUAGUACGAGAGGACCGGAGUGGACGGAUCAACGGUGUACCAGUUGUCACGCCAGUGGCACGGCUGGAAAGCCGCAUCCGGAAAGGAUAAACGCUGAAAGCAUCUAAGCGUGAAGCCCGUCCCGAGAUGAGACUUCUCAUCAGCAAUGAGUAAGACCCCUUAAAGACGAUGAGGUUGAUAGGCUGUGAGUGGAAGUGGCGCAAGUCAUGGAGCGACGCAGUACUAAUAGGUCGAGGUCUUACC
rnacentral:rRNA from 1 species